GCCUGGGUGGCUCAGUGGUUGAGCGCCUGCCUUCAGCGCAGGGCGUGAUCAUGGAGUCCUGGGAUCAAGUCCCACAUCAGGCU
rfam:Canis lupus familiaris chromosome 32, whole genome shotgun sequence.